GAUGAACGCUGGCGGCGUGCCUAAUACAUGCAAGUCGAGCGAACGGACGAGAAGCUUGCUUCUCUGAUGUUAGCGGCGGACGGGUGAGUAACACGUGGAUAACCUACUUAUAAGACUGGGAUAACUUCGGGAAACCGGAGCUAAUACCGGAUGAUAUUUUGAACCGCAGGGUUCAAAAGUGAAAGACGGUCUUGCUGUCACAUAUAGAUGGAUCCGCGCUGCAUUAGCUAGUUGGUAAGGUAAUGGCUUACCAAGGCAACGAUGCAUAGCCGACCUGAGAGGGUGAUCGGCCACACUGGAACUGAGACACGGUCCAGACUCCUACGGGAGGCAGCAGUAGGGAAUCUUCCGCAAUGGGCGAAAGCCUGACGGAGCAACGCCGCGUGAGUGAUGGAGGUCUUCGGAUCGUAAAACUCUGUUAUUAGGGAAGAACAUCUGUGUAAGUAACUGUGCACAUCUUGACGGUACCUAGUCAGAAAGCCCCGGCUAACUACGUG
rnacentral:rRNA from 1 species